GAUGAACGCUGGCGGCGUGCCUAAUACAUGCAAGUCGAGCGAACAGACGAGGAGCUUGCUCCUCUGACGUUAGCGGCGGACGGGUGAGUAACACGUGGAUAACCUACCUAUAAGACUGGGAUAACUUCGGGAAACCGGAGCUAAUACCGGAUAAUAUAUUGAACCGCAUGGUUCAAUAGUGAAAGACGGUUUUGCUGUCACUUAUAGAUGGAUCCGCGCCGCAUUAGCUAGUUGGUAAGGUAACGGCUUACCAAGGCAACGAUGCGUAGCCGACCUGAGAGGGUGAUCGGCCACACUGGAACUGAGACACGGUCCAGACCCCUACGGGAGGCAGCAGUAGGGAAUCUUCCGCAAUGGGCGAAAGCCUGACGGAGCAACGCCGCGUGAGUGAUGAAGGUCUUCGGUUCGUAAAACUCGGUUAUUAGGGAAGAACAAAUGGGUAGUAACUAUGCACGUCUUGACGGUACCUAAUCAGAAAGCCACGGCUAACUACGUG
rnacentral:rRNA from 1 species